rnacentral:rRNA from 1 species
CCCCUAGAUGUUCUGGGCCGCACGCGCGCUACAAUGGCAAACUCAGCGAGUCUCCUUUACCGACAGGUAUAGGAAAUCUUUUCAGUGUUUGCCGUGAUGGGGCUAGACCCUUGUAAUUAUUGGUCUCCAACGAGGAAUUCCUAGUAAACGCAGGUCAUUAACCUGCAUUGAUUACGUCCCUGCCCUUUGUACACACCGCCCGUCGCACCUACCGAUUGAAUGGUCCGGUGAAGUCUCCGGACUGAGUACUUUUAGUACUUGGGAAGUUGACUAAACCUUACUAUUUAGAGGAAGGUGAAGUCGUAACA